ACCACCGUAAUUGUAACUGAGGCAU
rnacentral:piRNA from 1 species